CUGUAGGGCGGAGCUCUGGAGUUCCUAAUUCUGUCCCUGAGGUGCAGACUGACCUUGAACUAUCCUGUUUCCAGUCAGUGUGUAGCAUUUUGGCGUUUCCACCGAUGGAGGUACUUAAAGGAUUACCUGGCCCCGUGGGACACUGAAGGAUGAGAAGGACAACGGACGUAGUAAUCCAGGCCUGCAAAUCUGACAGACAAGCUCUGCAUUGUCAAGAUCGGGAAAACUCUGGGUUCACUUUCCCCUGAGAAUCCUAAACCGCUUAGGACCUGAAAUCUUGACUAGGCAGAAUUUCCUGUUGAGGAUCAGACUCAGCCCCAUGGAUGCUCACAGGAAAGGCAGUAGGAUCAGGUGUUCAUUGCAAUGAGUCUUUGAUCUGGUUCGAGGCCCCUGGCUUCUGCAGCAGCAGCAACACUGGAUCCUCACCAGACUUCUCUCAGAUAUCCCGUUGUUGCCUUGUGUCAUGUGGAUCCUGCAGCUUUGGAUCUGCAGGACCAGCCCUUUCACAUGCUCCAGCAGUUCGUAGAUGAGGUUUCAACUCUCUGGAAGGCAUAGAAGAUUCCAUAUGAGCUGGACUCCUUUGUCCUUCAGUGACAGUCCUGUGGCCCCCCUCCCCCCAGGAAGCCAACUCUGCAAGGAGGAAGUACAAGGAGAGCUUCAAGGAAGUGAGAUUUUCAGGCAAAAGGACCAAAUGACCAUAGAAACUUCUGAAACCAGAAGCCAAAGUGAACUUUUCUUCCGCCAUGUUGGAGUCAAGUUAUUGGUCACAACAAUGGAAACUUAACUCAGAGAUCAUGACAUGAUCCCACUAAGAACCUCUGGGCUUCCUACUUUCCCCUUAGCAGACUCCUCUCCCCAGGCAGCAUCCAUCUUUUUGAAGCCUGUCUAGACACUGGGCUUUCUACAGAGAGAAAGAAGAGCAGGUGAUCUAAUAUGGACCAGUGGGUGACAAAGUUCAGAUUCAGAAAGAUGGAGACCGUCUGGAAUCUAACUAAAGAAGAAUACAAGUUCAUGCAUAUGGCUUCAAAAAAUAUAGUACAAUGGGUAUGAUGUUGCAUGCCUUUAAUCCCUGCACUUGGGGAAAAAAGACAGGUAGAUCUCUUUUGCUUUCCAGACCAGCCAAUGGUGCCCAGUGAGACCCUGUCUCAAAACAUGGCAUGUUGCUGCAGGGGAAAACUGUAAGGACCACAAUUCUCACUAGAAUGACAGACUAUCUUCCAUUGGUGAGAAGGCUAUGGCUGAGACUGAAUUAGAGAUUUGACCAUUGUGGGGAAAAAUAUGCAAUUUCAGCCCAUGUUUCAGUAGGACGUCUAGAAUGAGGGUGUCUGUUUUCACAGCCACAGCCUAGGAUUUAGAUUUUACCCUGAAUGGCACUGUGGGCUGAGUCCACAUGGGAUGUUUGGAGUCAUAUCACUACCAUAAACAUGUAACAACAACAGUGGAAAAGAAAACAAACAAAAUCAGGCAUGCCUAUGUCAGUGCAAUGAAGAAUUUUUGUGAAGUACCCUAGGGAAGGGUGAAUGAAUAAACUCCUGUUUAAUGAUAA